AUGUCUGGAAAGACAGGGAUGUGUCCCCAGUUUCACUUAGGAGGCUGUCCCGGGAGGUACCAAUAUGGGAGAGGCACAGAGAACCAAACAAGAGCAAUAAGACAGCAGAAAGCUUCACACAAACCAGCACCAGCGCCUGCAAAACACACCACUGUGGAUGGAAAGCAUCAUGACAUAGGCAGCUUGCAAACAAGCUUAGGCAGCGAGGUGUACAGCAGGUGUAGUGCACUGAUGCUGAUGCACAUCUGUGACAGUGAUAUUCCUCAGUGUUGCUCUGGUGGCAAAGGGGACAUUUCUGCUUCUCCAUGCUUCUGGGAGCUUCCAUUGAGCCAAACUGCCUUUGCUGGCCAGGCUGGCAGAGAGGUGAAGUCUUGUCUUGGGGGACGAAAUGAGGCAUGGAUGGUGUUGGCAGCUUUGUAA
rnacentral:lncRNA from 1 species